AACGAACGCUGGCGGCAUGCCUAACACAUGCAAGUCGAACGAGACCUUCGGGCCUAGUGGCGCACGGGUGCGUAACGCGUGGGAACUUGCCCUUAGGUUCGGAAUAACUCCCCGAAAGGGGUGCUAAUACCGGAUAAUGUCUUCGGACCAAAGAUUUAUUGCCUUUGGAUGGGCCCGCGUUGGAUUAGCUAGUUGGUAGGGUAAAAGCCUACCAAGGCGACGAUCCAUAGCUGGUCUGAGAGGAUGAUCAGCCACACUGGGACUGAGACACGGCCCAGACUCCUACGGGAGGCAGCAGUAGGGAAUAUUGGACGAUGAGCGAAAGCCUGAUCCAGCAAUGCCGCGUGAGUGAUGAAGGCCUUAGGGUUGUAAAGCUCUUUUACCCGAGAUGAUAAUGACAGUACCGGGAGAAUAAGCUCCGGCUAACUCCGUG
rnacentral:rRNA from 1 species